rnacentral:pre_miRNA from 1 species
AAUAAGUGCAGUCAUGGAUAUCCGUGUUCAACAUUUGACCGUCCAUCUUAUUUGAAAAAUUUGUGAAAAAUUUUAAAAUAUUUAGUCACACAUAAAGUACUAUUCAUAUUUUAUCAUAAUAAAAAUAAUAAUCAUAAAAAAUUUUCAAAUAAGACGAACGGUCAAACGUUAAACGUGAAUAGUACAAAACUGCACUUAUU